GUCCCUGUCACGCAAUUGGUAGCGCGUUGAACUUCUUAUCCAAAGAUCGUGGUUUCGAAUCCCACCUGGGAUG